rnacentral:rRNA from 1 species
UGCCAGCAGCCGCGGUAAUACGUAUGGUGCGAACGUUGUUCGGAUUCACUGGGCAUAAAGAGCGCGUAGGCGGUUUGGUAAGUCUGUUGUGAAAGCCCUCGGCCUAACCGAGGAACUGCAAUGGAAACUACCGAACUAGAGUGCAGGAGGGGAGAGUGGAAUUCCUGGUGGAGCGGUGAAAUGCGUAGAUAUCAGGAGGAACGCCGGUGGCGAAAGCGACUCUCUGGCCUGCAACUGACGCUGAGGCGCGAAAGCUAGGGGAGCGAACGGGAUUAGAUA